UACAGAGGUCUCGAGCGUUAGGCGGAAUCACUGGGCUUAAAGCGUGCGUAGGUGGCUCGUUAAGUCUGGGGUGAAAGGCAGUGGCUCAACCACUUGCAGGGCCCUGGAUACUGGCAGGCUCGAGUGCGCGUGAGGCCGGUGGAACGGGUGGUGUAGCGGUGAAAUGCAUAGAUACCAUCCAGAACACCGAUUGCGGAGGCAGCCGGCUAACGCGCAACUGACACUGAGGCACGAAAGCGUGGGGAGCAAACAGG
rnacentral:rRNA from 1 species